UGUCCAGUAGCACCUUAGAGACCAACUAAGUUUGUUCUUGGUAUAAGUACACGAAAGCUUAUACCAAGAACAAAGUUAAUUGGUCUCUAAGGUGCUACUGGACA